rnacentral:lncRNA from 1 species
CAAUUGCUAGCGAGGGCUUUAGCCAAUUCAGGCUUCACGGUGACACUGUUGGCCACAGACUUGAUGCAUUGACAAGCCGCCUUUUUAUCAGCGGAUGUAGUGGUCGCUGCAUCUAAACUCCUAACUCCGUCGCAGCAAGUCUCCGGAGGUUGUCCACUUCCGCUAGUCAAGUAGCUAACACAUGGCUGCAAAUCGCUUAGAACAACACUGCAAGAUAUCGCAGAUUCGGAAUAACGAGGUGUUAAAAAUAUUCCGAGAACGAAGAUGGUCACUAAAUUUUUCAAUAUGCUCAUUGUAGAAAGAAAUAAUAAGAUCUUAUGGUUUUAUAGUUUUCUUCCUUGUUUUUGUUAUAUAUGUAAAGUGAAGACGAAGGGGUUAUAUAUAAGGUGAAUUGCAAAAUUAUAUUACCAAAAAAUUUAAAAUUAGAGAAUUAUUAGAUGUUGGUGUAAUUGUGAUUGAGUGAAAGCUACUACUAAUGUACAUAAAAACUUCAACAUUUUGGUACGACUAUUCUUUUAAAUAGAUAUUAUUUAGGUCCAGGUAGUUAGGUUUGUAUAAGUCUUGUCAUUUUGGGUUUGCACAUAUUACUUUUAUAAUCAUUUUGGUACCAUUUGUAAUUACAAUACCCAAAGAUUACGUAUUUGCUAAACUAUUGGAGAUUUGGAGGUUAUGGGUCAUGUAGUCCAUUGAAGGGUUAAUUAAUCACUGAGUAAUUAAAUUAUACUAGUAAUAUUCAAUUUGCGUAAUCGUCUAAUUGCGUAGCUCAAUAAGUCAAUCGACAAUAUAUAAACCGUGGGAGGUAUGGCCGUAGCCCACGUUAGAUUUCUUUGUAGCGGUGUAGAGAACAUGCCAUCUGAUAGCACGAACAAGUGGGAUGGUCAAAUAGGGUCUGAAUCUAAAAAUUAUAAAAACUUUGAAAAUAAAUAUAUAAAUUAUGAUUUAAAACUUUAAAUUUUCAGAUAUACUAUUAAAUUUAGAGCUUGUGAUUUUAGAAAAAUAAACUUUUAAGACUACUCUAUUACAUUGUUAAAUAUAUUGUUAAUAUUCUUAAAAUAAUUUGAGACGGCACUAGUAUUAAUGAUCUUUAUCAAAGAAACAAAGUUUAUGGAAAAUAAUUCUGACAGAAGUACGAAGUGCAGAUCUCCAACUCUGAUUAUACGUUUAGAGAAUUCAUGCAAUACAAGAAAGAACUAUUUCCAAAAGAACCCAUUAAUUGUUUGAAGAAGAUCAUUACCCAUGUUCUUUAAUAUAUGAGGCAGAUAUGAUUAUCGAUGAUAAUAGUUUUGAUCGACAACAUCACGAAAAGCGUAGCAAAAUGACAAUACUUCUAAACAAGAAAAGAAAAAAACUUAAACCCAAAAAGUUACCAAAGAAAAAUGGGCUUGGUUUCAAUAAAUUUAACAAUUACUAAAUCUGCAUUUUUUAUUUUGCUAUUUUGCAAGUUAUCAAUCAAAACAAGUCUGCCUAGAUAAAAUUAGACCGCACAACACCAAAUACAUUAUAACUACUCACUAGGUGGUACUUGCAGGAUGAAUAGACUAAAGAAAAUUAAAACUUUUAAUUUAUGCCACAAUAACAGAGUCAAUCAAAAUAUAUUACUUCGCGAGAUUAGUGGUAUGGAUUAUUCGCGAGAUUUGCCCGGAAUACGAAAUUAAUUUUAGUUGCCAAUUUUAAAAGUAUGGAAAGUACUAUAAUUAAGAAAUCAUCAUAUAUUAAACAAUAUUAACUUUGAAAAUUAAGCUGAUCGAAAAUAACCAAAUUGACGUUUUUGACGUGUUGAUUCCUUAAUUUUAGAGUCUUGGUGCUUAAGUUAAGGGAUUAAAUGAUAUUAUUAAGUUUGUAUUGUCCAAUCAGUCAAAAGAUAAGAUUCAAUCGGCGUCAUAAUCCAUGAUCAAUGCUUCUAUAAAAUCAAUUAGGGGUUAUAUGAUUAAUAUUCAUAUACAAAUGACACUAUAUAAAUAUGAACCACAGAUGUAACAUACCAAAAUAAUUGUGAGGAAGACGAAUGCUUCUUUAAAUAUAUAUAUAUAUAUAUAUAUAUCUAGUAAAUUUCAUUAAUUAAAAUAGUAAUAAUUACUCAAUAUUUCACAUAAUUACAAUUAAUUUUUAUCCUUUUUAGUAGCGUUUCGUUUUGAUAAUGUAUUUCUAAGAAUGUUACUAUCUUAAUCUUCAAAGGAUGUUACGGUAUUCUAUUGUCACAAGCUUUAGUACGUUCAAGUUAUUAAUAAUAGUAUUAGACAAUAAAUUUAGUCAAGAGCAUAUCAAACGUACGUAUUGCAGUCGACCGUAGAAGAUGCAUCAACAGGCAAGCUCGCGUUACAAUUGCUAGCGAGGGCUUUAGCCAAUUCAGGCUUCACGGUGACACUGUUGGCCACAGACUUGAUGCAUUGACAAGCCGCCUUUUUAUCAGCGGAUGUAGUGGUCGCUGCAUCUAAACUCCUAACUCCGUCGCAGCAAGUCUCCGGAGGUUGUCCACUUCCGCUAGUCAAGUAGCUAACACAUGGCUGCAAAUCGCUUAGAACAACACUGCAAGAUAUCGCAGAUUCGGAAUAACGAGGUGUUAAAAAUAUUCCGAGAACGAAGAUGGUCACUAAAUUUUUCAAUAUGCUCAUUGUAGAAAGAAAUAAUAAGAUCUUAUGGUUUUAUAGUUUUCUUCCUUGUUUUUGUUAUAUAUGUAAAGU